UGUCCAAUGCGGGGAUCGAACCCGGGUCGUAGUGGUCGUAAACCAAACGGUUUAACCAGCCUUCAACCGAC